GGUGACAGAAUGAGACCCUGUUUCAAAAUCAAUCAAUCAAUCAAUCAAGGAAGGAUUUUGGUCUUUACCCUGAAAGAUCAAGCAAGAUGAAGAGUUAAAAUGUCUGCUGGACUCUGAAAUACAAGAACACAUUAACCUUAUUAAGAACUGUUUACGAGAAUAGAAACAGACUAGAAUGGAAUAGGAAGAGGAAUAGGAGUUAUGAAAAUGGACUCAGUGACUACUGACAAAUAUUUCCAAAGGUUUGAACGUGAAGAGGGGAGAAAGCAUGGUAACUGGAGUGAAGAAUGAGAUCAAGAUUCCCUUGCGCUCUCUCCGGCAACAUGGCGGGUGUGGAGGAGGCAGCGGCCUCCGGGAGCCACCUGAAUGGUGACUUGGAUCUGGACAACAGGGAGAGAGAGCUGCCUCUAUGGCUAAGGAAACAGCCAAGAAAAAAAGACGGAAGAAGAAGAGUAAAGGGGCUGCUACAGCAGGAUAACAAGAACCUGAUAAAGAAUCAGGAGUCUCAGUGGAUGAGGUAGCAAGACAAUUGGAAAGACAAGCUUUGGAAGAGAAAGAAAGAGACAAUGAUGAUGAAUGUGGGGAUGGAACAACUGGAAAAAAGAAGAAAAAGAAGAAGAGAGGACCAAAAGCUCAGACAGACCUUCCCUCAGUUCCAAUAUAUGACCUGUAUCCUAAUGUAUUUCCCAAAGGACAAGAGUACGAAUACCCACCCACACAAGAUGGGCAAACAGCUGCUUGGAGAAUUACAAGUGAAGAAAAGAGAGCAUUAGAUCAGGCUAGUGAAGAAAUUUGGAAUGAUUUUCAAGAAGCUGGGGAAGCACAUCAACAAGUUAGAAAAUAUGUUAUGAGCUGGAUCAAGCCUGGGAUGACAAUGAUAGAAAUCAGUGAAAAGUUGGAAGACUGUUCGCGCAAGUUAAUAAAAGAGAAUGGAUUAAAUGCAGGCCUGGCAUUUCCUACUGGAUGUUCUCUCAAUAAUUAUGCUGCCCAUUAUAUCCCAAUGCUGGUGACACAACAGUAUUACAAUAUGAUGACAUCUGUAAGAUAGAUUUUAGAACACAUAUAAGCAGUAGGAUUAUUGACUGUGCUUUUACUAUCACUUUCAAUCCCAAAUAUGAUACAUUAUUAAAAGCUGUAAAAGAUGCUACUAAUACUGGAAUAAAGUGUGCUAGAAUUGAUGUUCGUCUGUGUGAUGUUGGUGAGGCCAUCCAAGAAGUUAUGGAAUCCUAUGAAGUUGAAAUAGAUGGGAUGACAUAUCAAGUGAAACCAAUCCAUAAUCUAAAUGGACAUUCAAUUGGGCAAUAUAGAAUACAUGCUGGUAAAACAGUGUCCAUUGUGAAGGGAAGAGAGACAACAAGAAUGGAGGAAGGAGAAGUUUAUGCAAUUGAAACCUUUGAUAGUACAGGAAGAGGUGUUGUUCAUGAUGAUAUGGUCACAUUACAUGAAAAAUUUUGAUGUUGGACAUGUGCCAAUAAGGUUUCCAAGAACAAAACACUUGUUAAAUGUCAUCAAAGAAAAACUUUGGCACCCUUGCCUUCUGCUGCAGAUGGCUGGAUCACUUGGGAGAAAGUAAAUAUUUGAUGGCUCUGAAGAAUCUGUGUGACCUGGAUAUUGUAGAUCCAUAUCCACCAUUAUGUGACAUUAAAGAAUCAUAUAAAGCACAGUUUGAACAUACCAUACUGUUGCGUCCAACAUGUAAAGAAGUUGUCAGCAGAGGAGAUGACUAUUAAACUUAGUCCAAAGCCACUUCAACAUCUUUAUUUUCUAAAAGUUUUGUUGGAAUACAUUAUACCAGAAUGAAUUUGAAACAUGUUGCCUGUUUUAACAGUGGACCUAUGUAAUAUUUUUUAUCCAUGUUAAAAAAGAAGGAAUUUGAUCAAAAACAGUCUAAUGUAAUUAACCAAGGAAAAAGCUUUCACGACUUUUCAAAUGUUAACUGUUUUACCCUUUCCUGUGUAGGAAAUGCUAUAAAGCUCAAAUUAGUUAGGAAAGACUUAAACAUUUUGUUUUAAACACCUAAGAGAUGCUUUUUGGAUAUUUAUAUUACCAUACUCUUACUUGAAUGCUUUGAAUGACUAUAUCCAAUUCUGUACCUAUACCCUCUGAUAUUGCUUUUUAACCUUCCUGGAAUCCAUUUUCUAAAAAAUAAAGACAUUUUCAGAUCUGA